rnacentral:rRNA from 1 species
GACGAACGCUGGCGGCGUGCUUAACACAUGCAAGUCGAACGGAAAGGCCCUGCUUUUGUGGGGUGCUCGAGUGGCGAACGGGUGAGUAACACGUGAGUAACCUGCCCUUGACUUUGGGAUAACUUCAGGAAACUGGGGCUAAUACCGGAUAGGAGCUCCUGCUGCAUGGUGGGGGUUGGAAAGUUUCGGCGGUUGGGGAUGGACUCGCGGCUUAUCAGCUUGUUGGUGGGGUAGUGGCUUACCAAGGCUUUGACGGGUAGCCGGCCGGAGAGGGUGACCGGCGACAUUGGGCCUGCGAGAGGGCCCAGACUCGAACGGGAGGCAGCAGGGGGGAAUAUUGCACAAGGGGCGGAAGCCUGAGGCGGCAACGCCGGGUGCGGGAAGCCGGCUUUGGGUUUGAAAACCGCUUCCGCCUGUGACGAAGCGGGAGUGACGGUACCGGGAAAAGAAGCACCGGCUAACUACGUG